CACUGUCUGUCAGACUGGGCAUCAACUUCCUACCAGAAUAUACAAAUAAGUUAACUUCUGAAUAUAAAGACAUGGAAAGUAGUGUUGUAUCAAAUUUAAAGACACAUUAUUCUAAUAUUCCGGGGUUCAGGAGUGUCUCUGUGACGGGAUUUCGGCAGGGAAGUGUGAUUGUAGACUUUGUUGUUCAGGUAUUAAAUGGUUCUGAAAAACAAAUUGAAGAAGCAAACAAAAACCUCAAGUCGGCCUUGAAUUCCAUUGGGCCAGUCCUCGGAGUUCCACAGUAUUACAGUACAUAAAAUAUACUUUUUGUUUU